CUCCCCUGACACAGCUCCAUGCCGUUCCCUCGGGCCCUGUCGCUGUCACCAGAGAGCAGAGCUCAGCACCUGCAUCUCCACUGCCCUCUUGAGGUAGUUCUUUUGGUAUCCUGGGAUGAAAACUCAGUGUAAACGCUGUUAGGCUUAUUGUAAGCUGUAAUUUUGUGUGUGUGUGUGAAUAAGCAACUCCUCCAUCUCACUAGUACUGAGACAGAAUAACGCUUGAAACCUGGUGAAGAAGUAUGUGAUUGCAGGUUUUCUUUAGAGGCGGAGACGUGUUGUCAUGAGUUUAGUAUUGCACGUUUCUGAAUUAGCAGAAGAGAUACAUGGUUUUAGUAAGUCUUAAUGAAAGUAAUAUUUCAUUCAGAAAAUGAAUAACCAAGACUUUUUCUUUUAAAGCAAUUAGGUGUUGCACUAAAUGGUUGCCUCCUCAGAAGUUUGUGAUAGCUCUUGUAUGAGGUACAACACCUUGUAAAGUUGCCUCAAGGCUGUGGUGUGGCCGUUGAAAAAAGCAGAGAUUUCACGAAUAACUAAAAUGGAAUAUAUCAUCUCCUGAGGCAUAUAAUCUGGCUUUCCACUCUUGCAUGGAUGUGAGUUCAUAGCAUCAUCCUAUUAAGAAAAAACAUGUUGACAAUGCAAAAUCCUAUUUGGAUGACUGGGAAGCGGGAUUAUACAACUCACUGGAACAAAUAACAGAAUGUACUUGCUCAAUCACAUUCGUGCAGAGAUUAGUACCUUCCCUCUUUAUCUAGGUUUGUUCAGGGCCCAACCAAAUUCCCCCCUCCCCCUCCAAAUUUUGAUUAAAGACUUUGCAUUGUGCAGCCCAAUUAAAAAUAGCAGACAAGGAGCUUGAUGUAGUGUCUACACAGUGGUACUGCCAGUCAGGAUACCCGGCUUCUUUCGUGUUGUUGCCAACAAAUUGUUAUGAUGUCUUGGGAAAAUUGUAUUGGUACCUCCCUGCUCCUCUGCACAUGCUGUCUGCUUGUGUGCAGGUGAGGGAGAACAACAGCCUCUAUCCCAGGCAAGGCUGAGCCUUCACCAAGCCAUGCCAAGGGCAAGAAAAUAAAAUGUUCCAGGUUGGAGAACCACAGGUUUUAAACAGACAUCAUCUAGUAUUUCACUGAUAUUUUUACUACAAAAAUGGGUUAUAAAUAUGCCAUAUGGCAUUAAGCCUAUUCAAACAAGUCCUAUUCCAAUUAUAGUUAUAUGUUUUGAGUCAUCAGCAAAAACUCCUUGGCCAGAACGUUGUGUAGCAACUUUCCCUUCCUUUCCCUAAUAGACACCAGGUUUCAUUUCCCUCCAAACUGUCACGUUUUGUAUGAGCCUCACCUACAUGAGGCAGACUGAGGGGUCCUACACUACAGCCUAGUUUACUCAGAAACAUGUCUGCUAAAGGAUUUAUGUGCCUCUUCCCCUACUAGCUUGACUCUCUCCAGUUUCUCUUUCCUCACUACUGGUUUUCCUAUUCAUGUUUUCCCUAUGCCCCUUCUUGGGUUUGCAGGGCUGCUGCAUCAUUACCACUUCCAACACCAGCUGUGCUUCCUUUUCAAGCCUCUCCUCUCCUGCAUGUCUUCCUAAAGAGGCCUUGCUCCAUAAUAACCUCGCAUGCUCCUCAGACACAUCUACAAAAGGGUGGCUAGGAGUGGAAGACAUUCUCAGUUUUUCAGGUCAUGCUGUUGUUUGUAUCCCAAAUGAUAAGCAUAUUUUUUUCAUUUUAUAAGAACAAAAAUUAGCUAUCCCAUGCCUUCCACUCUCAUCUCCUUGCUGACGUGUUUCAGAACUGGCUGUAUUUUAUACGUAAAACUAGAAUUGGGCACAUUAACUGGGGAUGUUGCGGGAGGGUUUCAGUUAUCAAAGUAUGUCAUGAUUCAGUGUUUUUCCUGAAUCCUCUUACAGGCUGCAACUGUUUUUAUUCCAACAAGAGCCAGUAUCUCUUGGCUACCUAUUUGCUGCUUCCCAGGCAAUACGAUCACAUGGUAUGGCAAGUGCAGCAGUUAUUUAGACAAACGUAUUCACCAACCUUCCUGUUAAGCUCAUUUAUUUGCUAAUUUAUCAUCCUUCCUACUGUGGCAAAUGUUAUUUAUCAAUGCUAUUGUGCAGUUUUAUUGGUUCUUUUACUGGAACCUGGCACUGGUCAACGCAACAGAAAGCACUGUAAAUAAAAGGGAUUUAGCUGAAAGCUGGGCCUUUUAAAAAUAUAGCCCCCACACUGUUUUCCUGGUAUUUCUUGCCUUUUUCCAGCUAAUAAGAAGUCUUGUCUCUUUGUUGGUGCUGCAUAAAAGGCCCAUGUUCUUACUGAGCAGACACAAAUUUACUCAGUAGAAAUGCUUUAACUAGUAACAUAGCACAAUCACAACACAACAAAUCAAAACUUUUUUUUUUAAUGUUGUGUUUUUCAGUUCUACUUAUUUUUUUCCUAAGUAGUAUGAAGAGGCAGCAAACACCCUAAAACAGAACACUGUGGCCCAAGUAUGAGGAUGAGAUACAUAGCCAGAAGAGUCUUCCACUAAACUGUUUACCAGAUGUUACAAAACUCAGUGAUUAUAGUUAGAAACAGAAUCUACACCUUGGCUCAUGCCUUCAUUUUUGACUUGCAGUGGGAGUUCUGGUUUACUUCCUACCAAGUGUUUUAAAAGAAUUGGCUGAUGUUUAACUUCUGAUGAGUUUUGAAACAACAAGGAAAUUUCAAAGGACUAUUGGGAAAAAGAACAGCAAAAGUGGUAAAUGAACUCCAGAACUGUCAGGCUGACAACAGUCCCAAGCAUAACAACUGAAUGGGAUGUUACAAGGUUCAGUUAAAGUCAAAAAUGUUUACCAAAAGAUCAUCAUGCCAGCUUGAUAAGAAACAAAAGUGAUUUUAAUUAUGGUUGAGUGAUACAAAUAUGUUGAUUUAAAAGACUCCUAUAAGCUCCUUGGCUUUGUUCUGCAAGAUAUUUGGAUGAAGAAUUACAAGACAACAAAACUACAUGUGUUUACAAAAUGGCUAACUGGCAGAUCUGAAAAUGUUAUUAGAAGCGAGGGCUCCUUCCAAGCCAGGUAUUUAUAAUACAAGGAUCACUUUUGAUGCUAUGUUAUUAGAUUAUUUCUUUCAGUUUUCUGUAAAAACAUAAAAUCUUUCCUCAUAAAGUUUGAACAAUUACAGCUGGUGAACUUGUGAGUUCCCUGGGAAAGGAAGUCAUUCAAGGACAAAGUGAACAGGAGUCAUUUACUGUAAAAAAGUGAUCUGCAUCAUUCAGUAAGGUGUAUGCAGGCAAGCAAUAUGCUUUUCAGCAUGGGUAACUGAACACCCCAGUCCAAAAAAUGCAGACUUUUACUUAAAGGUGAGUCUAACCAGGCAAUCAGUGUUGCUGAAAAACACUCCUAUCUUUUGCUAGAUAAACAGGUUCCUGUAUUUUCUCAUGGUGACAGUAGCCAAAACUAGUGUAAUAUCAUUUCCUAUAAAGAGUGAGAAUCUGGAGCAAAAGUACAGUGAACCUUUACUGCCGUAUCUUUUGACGGACAGUUGACUGCUGCUGAAAUUAUGAAUCCUGCUCCAAAGUCUUACUACUUACAAAGCACAUAUAAUUACCAAGGCUGGACAAAUUCAUCCUGAAAGAAAGACGUAUGUCCUUCCUAGUGAGGUAAAUUAUCCUUUGCAAAAAUUUAAUGAGAGGUGGCAUGUAAAUAAAUGAGGUUUGACACAUAUUUCUAGCUCUUCUUUCCCACUAACUCUGCAGACAGCAAUGUGCGGAGGGAAGACUUAGGGGAAAAAUCAAACUGGAUAACUGCAACAGUUUAUUCUUUAUCUACCAUGGAUCACUCUUCUGAAAUUUCAUUUUUCUCAGUUUUGGUUGCCAUUGUUAAUUUAUGUAAUCUCUGAUUUUAGGGCAGUGCAGUACAAAGGGAUACAAGAACAGUUACAAUAUUCAGAUCCAUGGGCCAAAUGCUGCAGUCUGCACUAAUAACAGUUUGUCUGGUGUGGGGAUUGCUUAUUUUGGCAGUUCAGAACAAACAACACCAUUCCUUCAACAGAAACCAGUGACAGAGAAGGCUCAAAUGCUUAGAUUUGAUUUCAGAUGCUCUUUGCCUUACUAGCUAUCGCUGUAUACGCCUGUGUUGGCACAUUAAUCUACAGCGUGUGGGUGGUUUUUAAGCCCCAAGCUCCAGUUCAGCAUUAGUUGUUUUCACCAAUAGUUAAAUUCUGUAAUAGUAUCAACUGAGAGAAUAAAAAAUUAUUUUCUAGAGGAAGAAAACCCUCUAAAAUGCCAGAUAUACUCAGAAAACUCUGCUAAGUUACACUGCCCAUUGCUGUUCGCCACGUCAUUUUCAAUUCCAUGCCAAAUUCUGCUCAUUUUGCUAAACUAAGUGCUCACACUGACAUUAACAGAAAUUUCUCCAUGAGGAAAGCAGGAAGGAAUCACCUCUCCAUAGAAACCAUCAAAUCUGUGUAUUAGUAAACUUGAAACUUUUGGCUGUAACCCACAUCUGCUGUAUGUGACUGGUUCUGCUUUAUGAACAAAUUCAUGGACACCAAUAGAGCUGACAGCGUUUGACACAAUUCCUUUGUAGACUGCAUCAAAAUAAAGAACUCCCUCUCUUCUCUUGUAUGAGCAGGCAAUGACAAGAUUUGUCAUUUUAUUUUACUUAUAAAGAGAAAGUAAUCUGUUUUUUUCUUAACCUUUUAGCCAGUAUAAAUAAGACAUAAUCAGCAAGUGAGGUUCCCAGCUCUGUAAGAGCAAUCUACUCUUAACCUCUAACUAUUCACCAUUUCCUUCAUAAGCAAAUAAGAUCCAAUUCCUACACUCGGAGCACCUCCCAUUCUUUCAACCUGUUUCUCAUCUAGUAUAUCUAAGCACAUUGCCAUAAUGAAAGGCUAGAACAACCCCCCCCAAUGAGUCAAUAAAAAUUGGCAAUGGUAAUUUACACCUGUGAAAAUAUGGCCCAACAAAAGGAUGAAUCUAGCAGUAUUGCUCUUGAUUUUUUAAGAUUCUAAGUUUCUAAAAAUUGCUAAAGCCUCUUUAGGCAAGAUAGACCUUUGUCUCUUACCUGAAGCCAAAAGGCAGCAGGUGAAGGGAUGCCAAAUUGUUAAUUCUGCUUGAUGCCAAGAAGUGAUCAAGAACUUAUUUUGGCAAACAAAAUUUCAUACAGCUUACAACAGAAAUGAUUCUAUAUUUCGUGAUUGAAAGACAUUGUUGGUAAACUGGAAAAACAGAAGCAGAAGAGACAUCUAUUUGGAAAUCACUGACAGGAACAUACGAACCUCUGGAGAGGAAUGGGCAGAGGAAUGGGAAGAUGGAGUACAAGGGAAACAAGAUUCUUCAUCCCUGUUUAAAGUAUUGAUUGUUGAAGCAUACUGCUUUCCCCUUUGGCAGUGGAAUAGGAAUGCAAAGCUAAAAUAGAGUCAGUGCACAAUGGUUAUGACAAACUCCUGCUCCCUGCAUCCUCCACUAGCUCCCACUAGUUUCAUUCUCCCCGUUUACAAAUGCCACUUUCAACAGCAUUGACUCUGAAAUCGUUGGGAACCAUGAUUUUGUGACUAACUGACUGCAGUAGAAUUUAGAAAACUAUUGCUUAAUUCCUAGCCCUACAACAGACUCCAGUGUGACCAUAGGUACGAUAAUUAAUCUCUGGUGUCUUAAUUUCCUCACUGUAAAAGAGGUAAUAGCACACAUUUACUCUGUUCUAGCUGGUGCAUCCUUUUGGGCAGAAAUUCCCGGAAGAUGAUCUUUGGACCGUGCGGUGGCUGCCACAAAGGAACUCAGAUCCCAGAUGGAGCUGCCAGUACUUGCAUAGGAUUCAAAGAGGGAGAAGAAUUUGUGAACCACGCUGCCUGGUAAAUCACUGAUAGCUGUAGUCGUACAUUUGAUAUUUCCUUCAUUGGGGCUCCCCUGGAAUGCUGAUAUACAUGUUUCUUUUCUACACACUGAAAAAUGUAUUAUUAAACAUCAUCUCAUAGCACUCCAUAAACUUGCAAUGAUAGAAAGUUGAUGUUUGCAUAUAUAAGCACAUUAAUUUUCACUGAUUGCUAAAUGAUCCAUUCAAUUGCCCAAGAUUAGUGACAACUAGCAUUUCUACAUCUGUAAGGAUGAAAUUAUGUAUUUAUAUAAUUGACUGUAUAGAUUAUUCACACAAACUCCGAUCUUCCUGAGAUAAAAUGCUGCAAUUUUUUAUGCCUUUGAACAGUUUGCAGAAGCAACUUGUUCUUUUUCUCAGGUGUUGUGUUCUUGAAAGUCACAAAGAAAUUUCAUUUUAAACCCAAACAGAAAUUAUUAUUUUGACUAAUAUCUGUCUCAUGCAGAAAAUUACAAAAAGAAAAGCACAGGUUAUAAAAAGACCACUGUGCACCAUAUCUAUGCACUUAAGUACUCUGUUGACAGAUAGAGUUGUUUUUCUUUUUUUUAAAGAAAGGUACCAUUCCUUUUUCCUAAAGCAUGUGACUCCCUGUUAAAAGGCACUGAGGCUUCUUUCUGCUGGCCUGCCUGGGAAUCCCGGGAGGCUUGCUGCCUUCCAGGAGCCAAGAUGGGGGACAUAACCAAGAGCAUGAGCAUGGAAUGCUAUCCACUAUUGCUCUUUCAUGUAGGCAUGAAAAAAAUGGAAGCUGGAACAUGGGCAGAAUCAAAGAAGGCUAUACAACCCUGGGAACUCAAAUGAGGAACUCUAGUGCCCAAGUCAUCUUCUCUUCAAUUCUGGAUGAAAAAGGGAAGACAGAAAUAGACAUAUGAUGCAUAUCAACUCCUGGCUAUGUGGUUGGUGCUGGCAUGAGGGUUUUGGUUUUAUGACAAUGGGACUUUCUAUGAAAUUUAUAAUCUGCUAGAGAUGGAUGGGAUCCACCUGUCUAGAAGAGGCAGAGCAAUGUUUGGCAGCAGACUGGCCAACCUAGUGAGGCAGGUUUUAAACUGAAGGACUUUGGGAUGGGGUACAAAAUGGCAGUGCUCAUGCUAUUGCAACCAACUGGGGAAUAUGCUAGGCCACCACAACAGUGACAAAUGUUCCUUAGCUGCCUCCCCAUGAGAUGAGCCAGAAGGCCAGCCACUUCAAAGAUGCGAAUAGCUAUGGGGGAUCCUCUUGGAUCCCUCAAGAGGAACAGACAUCCUCUGCUCCCUUUUCUUCUCUGAAGUGCCUGCAUACCAAAGCAUGCAGCAUGGGGAAUAAACAGGAAGAAUGAGAGAUAUGUGUGUAGUCACAGGGCCAUGAUCUCAUUGUGAUCAUGAAGACAUGGUGGGACAGCUCACAUGACUGAUAUGGAUGGCCGUGUACUUUUUAGGAAAGAUAUACCAGGAAGGUGAGGUAGUGGAGUUACUCUUUAUGUGAGAGAACAACUGGAAUGUAUCAAGCUCUGCCUAGGGGUGAGUGACAAAUGAGUGGAAAGCUUAUGGGUGAGAGUUCAAUGGCAGACUAACAUGGAUGAUACUGUUGUGGGUGUUUCCUACAAGCCUCCACAGGUGCCUAUGAUCAGAAGCAGGAAGUUGAUAAGGGCUUCUACAGGCAGCUGAAAGUAGUUUUGUGAUCACAGGCACAGGUUCUCAUGGGGGAAGAGAGGGAACUUCAACUACCCUGCUAUUUGCUGGAAAAGCAACACUGACUGGCAUACAGCCCAUGAAGCUCCUGAAGUAUGUGAAAGAUAACUUUCUUAUACACGUGAUGGUGGAGGAGCCAAUGAGAAGAGAUGUGGUGCUGUAUCUUGUUCUUAUGAGCAAGGAAGAGCUGAUCAGCCUCAGGAGAUCUGACUCGAACUUGGAUUCUGAAUCUGGGACAAAGAAUCGCAAGAUUGUAGAAAUAUUGUUUGGGAGAGACUUCUGGAACCUACAGGCCAUGAAAACACUGCCUCAUGCUUCCAGGCUUCCAAGAAAUGUGAUUCAGCUGAAGCUCUUAAUCCCUAAUAACUGAAGAAUUUGGAGCGCAUUCUGGGUACAACAGAUAAGUUUGACUCUCAAACUCAAUGUAUAAGUUUGCAUACAUCUGCAUCACUACUAAGUUACCCGGGUUUUCCUCUUGGAGCUGACUGAAGAACCAAGUGCUUGCUGAGCAACACAGAUUGCAUAUUUGGAAAACAAGUCUAUAUCUAUAUGACUGUAUGGAUUGAGAGCAGGUAAGAUAUUAUACCUCAUCAGAAUGUGUGCCUCUCAAAACUACUGUGCAUUCUGAUACAUUUCAAGGUUUUAAAAGCACAUCAUAAACAGCAACUAGUAACAACAAAAGAAGGAAUGGUUGUGGGAUGGAAUUUUACAUGAAAAGAAGAAAAUGUGUAAUCUUCAACUAAGCAGAAAAUUAGUUUUGUCCUCCUAUUAUUCUAGCAGGCUGGCAAAACAGCCUUCAUUUAUUUUGUGUCUUUGAAAAUGCAAAUGAUAAACAGAAGCCUAUAUUUGUGGAUAUAAAGUCAUUUUAUGCUGCACAAAUGAUUGCACAUUAACCCCAUUAGCAGUGACUGUACCUCUGCUGUUAAGCAGAACAGUAGCACACUUCAGAAGACAUAAAUUCCUAUUGAUCUUUUCACUGUGACUCCUAAAUUUUGAGUUUUUCAGGGACAAAAUUUCUUUUGCCAAGACAGACAUUUCUGGAGAUAACCUAUUCUUUUGUGAAGAUAAAUGUUCAAUGAUAAAAGUGACUUGCCUUUCCUUAGCAGAAUACUGGUAGUUAAAAGAUACAAAUGAUGCUGAAUCCUCACUUCCUCAUGUUAUGGCUUCUGUGUGCAGGAGCCUUGUACUCCUGUGGGCUUCUAAAUUAACAGAAACCACACACAACAGUACAUUCCUGAUAGCUGUACAAGAGAAAUGAUAAGAAACUAUCAUAAAGAACAUAGAUAAUGUCCUCUUGAUCUUCUCCAAUAAAUGAAUUUCUAUUCCAUGUGCACUUCUGUGAGAGGAUUACCUCUCUGUAAAAUAAAAUCAAUUGAAAGUACCAAGUUUAAAAUGAUUAUGUGAAAGCCAGCACCGAAGAAAGACUAAUGUGAUAUUGACCAUGAAAUUUUAAAAAACAAGAAUUUUGCUUGUGCUGUGCUGUGAUCCUGAACUACUUCUCUUGCUUUUCUUCAGUGAAGAUCUUCAGUGAUAACUCUUUCCUUUAAAGAUUCAGAAAAAAGUAUGUUUUCCUUCUUGGAUUGGGUGUAUCUUGCUUAAACAAUUGCAUCUCAGUAUCGUCUUUGAGAUAUCUUUGUUUUCAACUGCAUUAAAUGCAUUAUACCCCACUAGGAGUGAUAGCCCACUGCAGAUCUCUGUUAAGUGAUAGCCACUGUGCAUGCGUUCUGGAAAAGGAGUGACUCUCACUUAUCCAGUUUUUAAAACUUGAUUUUAAAUUGUGGGUUUUCUGUGCAGAAAUGGUGUAUGGUCCCAUGUAUACAGCCUUCCAACAGAGAAGCAGGCUAUAGCUUAAAACCAGGUGAAUGAAGAAAUCUGAACACAUUCCACAGUGAACUCUCUGUUUUCAGGGAAAGGAAUGAAUGUAUUGCUUUUCAAUCACCUUUCCUUCCUCUCUAAAAACGAAGGAUAUCAGGGACUCUGCCUACACAUUGGGUACUGCAGGCUUCAGCCAAGAGCUGGUGUUAAGAUGCAGUGCAAUGUUGUCUUAGAAAUAAAGUAUUACUUUCUCAAUACCUCUUUUUAAUGGUAGUAUGCCUGAUGCCUAGAGAUACACGAAGCAGUUAAGGAAAUACACUGUAGAUAAGUAAAGGAAUUCAAUAGGCCAGUGAUCUGAGUUGAGACUGGAAAACUAAAAUAAUUUGUGCCUCAGGCAACCAUGACAAAGAUUCUUACACUUUGCAAAUUAGAAUGCAACUGUGCAAACAUGAACCAACAGUUGGAUACAGCUACUAUUUUAGAUACUAGGUAAGAUAUUUAGAUACUUGAGGGAUUGGAACUAGAUUAUCUUUAAGGUCCCUUCCAAUCCAAGCCAUCCUAUGAUUCUGAUAUUAUUAUCUUAACCACACUUGGAAAAAUGGCUUUUUUCAGGCAUGCCUCCUCAUCAUAAAAAAAAAAAAAAAAAAAAAAGACAAGUAUUUAAAAACCAAGCAAAUG